GGUUUCGUAGCUCAGUAGGUAGAGCGUAGUGCUGAUAACGCUAAGGUCUUGGGUUCGAGCCCCAGCGGAACCA
rfam:Trichomonas vaginalis G3, whole genome shotgun sequence.